GAGCAUGUUUGGACCGAUGGUCAUCACUGUCCUCUCAGGUUUUGUGGAGAGGAUGAAUGCAAACAUGCUACAUUAAUACUUGAGGAGUUAACAGGGCCACCAGUCUUUCAAGGACAGGCUGGGUCGGUAGUAUAAUACUCCAACACUG
ensembl:snoRNA